GGGGAUGAUCAGCUUCGAUAAAGACAGGUCACGGACUGGCGAGCCGAGCGCUGACUCGUAAAACCGGCACCACGCAUAACUGCUAACCAAAAAGUUGCAGCUCCCGCAUUCGCUUACGCGUAACGCGGGGAUCGCCUGACCCCUUGUCUCUUGGGGUCAGACACGGUCUUAUACAAGGGGACUAAGUUCCGCCGGAUGAUCCUGCGGCGGGAUCGAAAACCAAGGAUCAAUUCGCCUGACUUCGGUUAGACUACGCUCGUAGAAGGUUCGCUGAUACUGUUUUUAGACGGCGGCUCACUACCGCCCAUCUCCACUC
rnacentral:tmRNA from 3 species